CGGGGUGUAGCGCAGCCCGGUAGCGCAACGGUUUUGGGAACCGUGGGUCGGAGGUUCAAAUCCUCUCACCCCGA
rnacentral:tRNA from 1 species